CUGCCCUGAACAGAAGAUACCAAAGAAGAUAGUGGGAGAACAGGAGCACGGAACGGAAUCAGCUCCCUAGUCUUAUUCUUCAAUCUCAUGGUGACCCUGCUUCAUCUGCACAAGGUUAACAUCAAUAGCACUCAGAGGUACCAUCAGGCAGGAACUGUAUGUGAAGGGACAAACCUCCCCCACAACAUCUGUACAGCCACCUAUAAAGCGUUUAGAUUUCCCAGGAUAUGAAGAAUGACAUUAGCGUGGAGUAAGAACUGUGACACUGCAGUGAGAAGGUUACAUUGCUGGUGGAUGGGGAGAUUGUGGUAUUAUGUACACACACUUGAAGCUGUCUUAGAAUAGAUGUCAUUAUUAUCCAUUACUCCCCAUAUAAUGUAAUAAAU